CAUUCAUAAGUGUCACGGCCGUGGAACGUUUAUUAUUAACGGACAACGUUAGACCAACGUAACUCUGAUUGGACUUCUGCAUUGCUGAUCGUUCAGGAACAUGCACUGCCCGCCGGAACCACACUUCAAAGGACAAUCACAGAAAAGGCUCAAGAAACUUCAAAUCAUCACUGGAACAACGAAGAAGCGUCUUUCAAGAUCCACUGGACAAGCACAAAUAAUCUCCAAAUUCAUCUCUACAAGCUGAAACCUUCCUCUCGGUAGCUCAACGUUCAACAAUGUCC